GACGAACGCUGGCGGCGUGCUUAACACAUGCAAGUCGAACGGAAAGGCCUCUUUCGGGGGGUACUCGAGUGGCGAACGGGUGAGUAACACGUGAGUAACCUGCCCUUGACUUUGGGAUAACUUCAGGAAACUGGGGCUAAUACCGGAUAGGAGCUCCUGCUGCAUGGUGGGGGUUGGAAAGUUUCGGCGGUUGGGGAUGGACUCGCGGCUUAUCAGCUUGUUGGUGGGGUAGUGGCUUACCAAGGCUUUGACGGGUAGCCGGCCUGAGAGGGUGACCGGCCACAUUGGGACUGAGAGACGGCCCAGACUCCUACGGGAGGCAGCAGUGGGGAAUAUUGAACAAUGGGUGGAAGCCUGAUGCAGCAACGCCGUGUGCGGGAUGACGGCCUUCGGGUUGUAAACCGCUUUCGCUCAUGACGAAGCUUUGUGUGACGGUAGUGGGUAAAGAAGCACCGGCUAACUACGUG
rnacentral:rRNA from 1 species